rnacentral:rRNA from 1 species
GUUGAUCCUGCCGGAGGCCAUUGCUAUCGGGGUCCGAUUUAGCCAUGCUAGUUGUACGAGUUCACACUCGUAGCAAGUAGCUCCGUAACACGUGGCCAAACUACCCUACAGAGAACGAUAACCUCGGGAAACUGAGGCUAAUAGUUCAUACCCGUCUCCCGCUGGAAUGCCGAGACGUGCAAAUGCUCACGCGCUGUAGGACGUGGCUGCGGCCGAUUAGGUAGACGGUGGGGUAACGGCCCACCGUGCCGAUAAUCGGUACGGGUUGUGAGAGCAAGAACCCGGAGACGGAAUCUGAGACAAGAUUCCGGGCCCUACGGGGCGCAGCAGGCGCGAAACCUUUACACUGCACGCAAGUGCGAUAAGGGGACCCCGAGUGCGAGGGCAUACAGUCCUCGCUUUUCAGUACCGUAGGGAGGUACUGGAAUAAGAGCUGGGCAAGACCGGUGCCAGCCGCCGCGGUAAUACCGGCAGCUCGAGUGAUGGCCGAUUUUAUUGGGCCUAAAGCGUUCGUAGCCGGCCACGCAAGUCCAUCGGGAAAUCCGCCAGCCUAACUGGCGGGCGUCCGGUGGAAACUGUGUGGCUCGGGACCGGAAGACCCGAAGGGUACGUCUUGGGUAGGAGUGAAAUCCUGUAAUCCUGGACGGACCGCCGAUGGCGAAAGCACUUCGGGAAGACGGAUCCGACGGUGAGGAACGAAAGCCAGGGUCUCGAACCGGAUUAGAUACCCGGGUAGUCCUGGCCGUAAACGAUGUCUGCUAGGUGUGACUCCCACUACGAGUGGGUGUUGUGCCGUAGGGAAGCCGCUAAGCAGACCGCCUGGGAAGUACGUCCGCAAGGAUGAAACUUAAAGGAAUUGGCGGGGGAGCACUACAACCGGAGGAGCCUGCGGUUUAAUUGGACUCAACGCCGGACAUCUCACCAGCAUCGACAACAGCAAUGACGGUCAGGUUGAU